rnacentral:tRNA from 1 species
UAGCUCAGUGGUAGAGUAUGUGCUUACCAUGCACUAGGCCCUGGGUUCCAUCCCUAG